rnacentral:rRNA from 1 species
GAUGAACGCUGGCGGCGUGCCUAAUACAUGCAAGUCGAGCGAACGGACGAGAAGCUUGCUUCUCUGAUGUUAGCGGCGGACGGGUGAGUAACACGUGGAUAACCUACCUAUAAGACUGGGAUAACUUCGGGAAACCGGAGCUAAUACCGGAUGAUAUUUUGAACCGCAUGGUUCAAAAGUGAAAGACGGUCUGCUGUCACUUAUAGAUGGAUCCGCGCUGCAUUAGCUAGUUGGUAAGGUAACGGCUUACCAAGGCAACGAUGCAUAGCCGACCUGAGAGGGUGAUCGGCCACACUGGAACUGAGACACGGUCCAGACUCCUACGGGAGGCAGCAGUAGGGAAUCUUCCGCAAUGGGCGAAAGCCUGACGGAGCAACGCCGCGUGAGUGAUGAAGGUCUUCGGAUCGUAAAACUCUGUUAUUAGGGAAGAACAUAUGUGUAAGUAACUGUGCACAUCUUGACGGUACCUAAUCAGAAAGCCACGGCUAACUACGUG